rnacentral:lncRNA from 1 species
GAGAAAGAAAAAGAAAAAGAGAGAGGUGCCAUAAGCAACAAAAAAGCAUAUGAGGCACCAAAGAAAAAAUUCCAGAAAUUUGAAAAAGGAGAAUCGUCCUGGAGACCAAAACACGACGGAAAGGUCUACCAAACAUCUGAGGAGUUCGGGAAAUCAAGAUAUCCAAAGUACAAAGACUUAGGAUUUACGGUUUUCAGCACUCCAAAAGAGGAAAUCUAUAAUAAAGAAAAAGGAAGAAUAAGGUUUCCUCACCCAGAAGAGUUGAACCCUGCAACAAAAGAGGCUCGGACAAGGAGGAACAGGU